UGCCCCAUGGCUGAGUUGGUUACAGCGUCCGACUGUUAUCCGUCACACCGGCACAGUUGAGAAUUGCAAUCGGAAGGUCGUGAGUUCGAGCCUCACUGGGGCAG